rnacentral:rRNA from 1 species
GACAGAGGGGGCAAGCGUUGCUCGGAAUCACUGGGCGUAAAGGGCGCGUAGGCGGCUGAUCAAGUCGGGUGUGAAAUCCCUCGGCUCAACCGAGGAACUGCACCCGAUACUGGUCGGCUAGAGUCCGGGAGGGGAUGGCGGAAUUCCCAGUGUAGCGGUGAAAUGCGUAGAUAUUGGGAAGAACACCAGUGGCGAAGGCGGCCAUCUGGACCGGAACUGACGCUGAGGCGCGAAAGCCAGGGGAGCGAAUGGG